rnacentral:rRNA from 1 species
AUUGAACGCUGGCGGCAGGCCUAACACAUGCAAGUCGAGCGGAUGACGGGAGCUUGCUCCUUGAUUCAGCGGCGGACGGGUGAGUAAUGCCUAGGAAUCUGCCUGGUAGUGGGGGACAACGUUUCGAAAGGAACGCUAAUACCGCAUACGUCCUACGGGAGAAAGCAGGGGACCUUCGGGCCUUGCGCUAUCAGAUGAGCCUAGGUCGGAUUAGCUAGUAGGUGAGGUAAUGGCUCACCUAGGCGACGAUCCGUAACUGGUCUGAGAGGAUGAUCAGUCACACUGGAACUGGGAGACGGUCCAGACUCCUACGGGAGGCAGCAGUGGGGAAUAUUGGACAAUGGCGAAAGCCUGAUCCAGCCAUGCCGCGUGUGUGAAGAAGGUCUUCGGAUUGUAAAGCACUUUAAGUUGGGAGGAAGGGCAGUAAGUUAAUACCUUGCUGUUUUGACGUUACCGACAGAAUAAGCACCGGCUAACUCUGUGCCAGCCGCCGCGGUAAGAC